UCAUAUGAUGAUCAACUUCUAUGUUGGAAUUACCGCCUGAACAUUCAUGUUGAUAACAAAUGGCUGUUUCUGAUA
rnacentral:snoRNA from 1 species